UUUAGGGUUUGCCCUGAAUGACACCAGAUGCAAAGGUAAUCAUGUAUGACACCCAAGAAACAGAGCAUAAAACGGAAGAAGAACGCAAGAGAGACCAUAGAAACGCCCUGAGGAGGGCUUCCUAUCGACGGAAGAAACAAUAUAAUGUUCAAGUUGAACAUGCACAGACCCUUCAUUUAUCAGGUAAGCUUAUAAUGAUUUAACCAUUAUGGUCAGAACCGUCUUAAUAAUUAAGCAUUAAUAUGUGUGGACAACUUAGGUUCACCAGGCAAUCCCACUAGCUCUAACUAUACAUCAUUCUCGCGUGAUGCGCGGACAUUUCCUGAUACAACUACGGUCUCAUGUGGGAUCGUUAAUGACAACGAGCUACAAGAUGUGAUUUUGAAUGACACACAAGAAACAGAGGAAAAAACAGAAGAAGAACGCAAGAGAGACCAUAGAAACGCCCUGCGGCGAGCUGCUUAUUGGAGGAACAAGGAUAAGCAUAUCAAAGAUCAAAACAAACGUCCAUCUGGUACUUCAGGUAUACGCUUACGUUCAAUAUCCUUUUCGGAAGCCGGGCCCUACUAUUCUAGAUGGCACUCCUCCAGUGCCGAUAAAUCAAACUGUUCUAACUAUGUUUUGAAAAUAUUAUUGAUCCA